rnacentral:lncRNA from 1 species
GAAAAUUGUUUUUUUAGAGCAAAAAAAUGGUAACUAUGUCCUUUUAUACUAAUCUAUACUACUUUAUGUCCCAUUAGACUAAUUUUUUUCAAAAUGGCAGUAAUGCCCUUAAAAUUGUAAUUUUUUAUUUCUUUUUCGUUUUUUUUUAUUUUUUUAUUUCUUUUUCGUUUUUUUUUUUUGUUUUUUUGUUCCUUUUUCGUUUUUUUAUUUUUUUUUAAAAAAAAUCGAUUUUUUUUUCAAAAUAUAAAAGUGAAUAUUCUCAAAUAUUUUGUUUCCAUAUUUUUAGGAACUGAUUUCUUAUCCGUAGAAUACAACUAAUAUGUAGAAAUCGGUUUCUAC